UAUAUUUUAGUGUAUGAGGCACAAAGAAUUUUGAUUUCUUAGGUUUUAGUUUAAUUCUAAAAAAUAUAA
rnacentral:tRNA from 1 species